AACGAACGCUGGCGGCAGGCCUAACACAUGCAAGUCGAACGCCCUAGCAAUAGGGAGUGGCAGACGGGUGAGUAACACGUGGGAACCUUCCCUAUAGUACGGAAUAUACCAGGGAAACUUGGAGCAAUACCGUAUACGCCCGAGAGGGGAAAGAUUUAUCGCUAUAGGAUGGGCCCGCGUAGGAUUAGCUAGUUGGUGAGGUAAUGGCUCACCAAGGCGACGAUCCUUAGCUGGUUUGAGAGAACGACCAGCCACACUGGGACUGAGACACGGCCCAGACUCCUACGGGAGGCAGCAGUGGGGAAUAUUGGACAAUGGGCGCAAGCCUGAUCCAGCCAUGCCGCGUGAGUGAUGAAGGCCUUAGGGUUGUAAAGCUCUUUUUGCCGGGGACGAUAAUGACGGUACCCGGAGAAUAAGUCCCGGCUAACUUCGUGCCAGCAGCCGCCGCCGUAAG
rnacentral:rRNA from 1 species